CAUGAACAAGAGCAUUGUGCAACAUCUCACUGCGACUUGGGUCUUCUUCCUCCUGGCACCAACUGAGCACCUCGACGGUGGCCUCGAUUACUUCAUUCAAGGCGGCGGGACGUGAGCCUCGAGGGAACCCACGACCAGAAGGAGAAGAAGUAUCUGCUGCUGCUUCGUCUGAAGAGCACGAUGGCAAACUGCAGCUCGUGUUUUUGGUGCAUCGUCUGGCUGGCGCUGCUGCUGUUCUUCGGCUGGCCCAUCGGGAUCACCCUGGGGGGUCUCUACGGCCUCAUCAGCCCCCUCACCACCUGCCUGGGCCUGGACCGACUUUCCGACCUGCUGCUGGAGGGCGCCAACCUGGGCCGCACUUGCGCCCUCAACAUGAGGCACUGCAAGCCGCUGUGUUGACCUUUUUUUUUUUUUUUUUUUUUCCCCCCCCUUUUCCUUUUACGGCCUCCCCGACGAGAUUGCAGUGACAAAAAAAAAAGGUCAAUACAAUGACUUGCCUUAGCAUGUAAGCUAGCACGAGUUUGUCAUUCGCUCGGCUUGAAACGAGCUUCGCAGCGUUUAAUUGACGAUGACGCUGCGCAGAGGAGAUAAGAAUUGAACAAUGGCGACGCUCUGACUUGUAAAUGCAAACUUGUAAUGCGAUUAAACCUGCUUUGAACUCGUG